UUGCGCGUGCGCAUACCACCCAGACACUUCUGCACCACAUGCAAAAGAGGAAAGAAAGCAUGCCUUUACUACAGAGUGUAAAUAGAACAGAAUGUACGCAUGCAUAGUUUGAUUUGUUUGGAUAAAAUGCUGUGUCUACGUAUAUGUAGAAUGCACCCCUGGAAUAUAACAAUUUGAACUUUUAGCAAUGAGAUGGAUUAUUUACGUGUGUCUUAGUCAGGAGUUAUUCUCAUAAAUAGAUGGUUCUCAUAAAUAGAUGAAUUUGCCUAACAUUUUGUGGUAGGUUGGCUAUGUAUUGUCAGUUGCAAGUAUACACGGUAUGAUUAAUGCAUCACUCCUUUAUUAAAGGGAUUUGUAGUCCUAAUAUUCACCAUCGAAAAGAGGCUUGUUGAAUUCGACAUUGAUUAACUGAAAUCAUGUUGUGCAGCUUUAUGUCAACAUGUCAAUUUGCUUCGGACAUGUUUGGACAUUUGUUUGUAAAUGUUUUUUUUUUUUUAAGCUACAAAUCCAACAUGCAGAAGCCUACUUGUUUCCUGUCGUGAGAAUAUUUGGCCUGAACUACAUUGCCCAGCAUGCACUUAACUGGAGACGUCAUCAUCAUUAGUCUGCGUUCUGAGUUGGUGGACAAGAUACACUACAUCAGGUAUUCCCAAACUGGGUUACCGAAAUGCCGUCGGGGGUACGCCAGAUAAAAAAAAAUGUGAACCACAUUUUUAAGGACCAGGAAAUUAUAGGGUUUAUACAUUUUUAUUUGUUAACAUUUUCAAACAGUCCAUUUAUAUUUUCCAACGGGGCAAUACAUGUGGGUGAGUUUUUUUUUUGUCGCCUGAGUAGCCUCGUUUCAAUGCCAAAAUGAAACCAUCUAGUGUUCAGCGAAAUAACAACACAAUGUCAAAUACAGUUUGCAGGCUGACACCAUGCUGAAGAUGGGCUUCCAGCAGCAGGUUCUGGAGGUUCUGGAGCAUGUCCCAGAGGAGCAACAGACCCUGUUGACGUACACCACCAUCCCCAAGGGCACAGAGGCGGCCCGACUGACCCAGGACCCGGUCUGCAUCGCUACUGUGGACAAGAACCAGGCCUGCGCCAACAUCUGCCAGAUUGGCAUUUGUUUACAUCCUUGUUAGGGAGCUAUUCUUCUUUGCCAAGAUAAUCCAUUCACCUGAGAGGUGUGGCAUAUCAAGAAGCUGAUUAAACAGCAUGACUAUUACACAGGUGCACCUUGUGCUGGGGCAAAUAAAAGGCCACUAAAAUGUGCAGUUUUGUCACACAACAAUGCCACAGAUGUCUCAAGUUGAGGGAGUGUGCAAUUGGCAUGCUGACUGCAGGAAUGUCCAACAGAGCUGUUGCCAGAGAAUUGGAUGCUAAGUUGUCUACCAUAACGUUGUUUUAGAGAAUUUGGCAGUACGUACAACCGGCCUCACAACCGCAGACCACGUGUAUGGUGUCGUGUGGGCGAGUGGUUUGCUGAUGUCAACAUUGUGAACAGAGUGUCCCAUGGUGGGGUUAUGCUAUGGGCAGGCAUAAGCUACGGACAAUGAACACAAUUGCAUUUUAUUGAUAGCAAUUUGAAUGCACAGAGAUACCAUUACAAGAUCCUGAGGCCUAUUAUCGUGACAAUUAUCCGCCGCCAUCACCUCAUGUUUCAGCAUGAUAAUGCACGGCCCCAUAUCGCAAGGACCUGUAGACAAUUCCUGGAAGCUGAAGAUGUCUCAGUUCUUCCAUGGCCUGCAUAUUUACCAGAAAUGUCACCCAUUGAGCAUGUGUGGGAUGCUCUGGAUCGAAGUGUAUGACAGAGUGUACGGCAGUGUGCUCCAGUUCCCGCCAAUAUCCAGCAACUUCACACAGCCAUUGAAGAGGAUUGGGACAACAUUCCACAGGCCACAAUCAACUCUAUGCGAAGGAGAUGUGUCACCGCUGUUAUCAAAUGGACUCAUGCUAGCCACAAGUUCUAACUGAGCUCAAUUGUCAUGAAACUCACAUACAGCGAUGAGUUUCUCUCUCUUUCAUACAAACUUUAAGAAUAACCAGGAGCGCCCACAAUGUGUAUUGUGCGGGAAGUGCUUAGUUAAAAAGUCUCUCAAAAUGAACAAAUUAAUAAAACGACACGUCCUGACCAAACAUCCACAGCAUGAUGGAAAACCCAGGGAGUUUUUUUAGAACAGGGCAGAAUGCUUCAGGAAACUGUGCUCCGACAGUGGAAAAGUAAGUCAGCUAGCAAGGCAUUGUUGUCAUUUUUUAACAGGUGUUAAAAAGCAGAAAUAAGGGAGUAGUAUAUGUGAGUUUCUCUUUCAAACAAUCCCCUGGCCUUUUUAAAACAUUUUCUCCCCAAUUAUUAUAAUAUAUUUUUUAAUUAACCCCUUUUUUCUUCCCAAUUUCGUGGUAUCCAAUUGGUAAUUACAGUCUUGUCUCAUCGCUGCAACUCCUGUACUGACUCAAGAGAGGCGAAGUUCGAGAGCCGCGCAGACUCCGAAACACGCUUCUUGUGUGUCUGCACUGCAAUGCUCGCUUAACCCGGAAGCCAGCCACACCAAUGUGUUGAAGGAAACACCGUACACCCGGCGACCAUGUCAGUGUGCAUUGCGCCCGGCCCGCCACAGGAGUCGCUAGAGCGCGAUGGGACAAGGACAACCCGGCCCAACAAACCCUCCUCUAAACAUGACGACGCUGGGAGAAUAGUGGGCUGCCUCAUGGGUCUCCCGGGCACAAUAGGACAAGGACAACCCAGCCUGCCAAACCCUCCCCUAAACCGGACGACGCUGGUCCAAUUGUAUGCCGCCUCAUGGGUUUCCCAGUCGCAGCCGGCUGCGACACAGCCUAGGAUUGAACCAGGAUCUGUAGUGAGGCAGCUAGCACUGCGAUGCAGUGCCUUAGACCGCUGCAACACUCGAGAGGUCCCCAGGCCUUGUACACAGCAAUUUCAAAGUCCCUCAUGGUUUCUUGGUCCGUGUCUUCCAGGAAAAAGUAGCACUGCUUGACGGCCCAGUGUACCUCGAAGCACAUGUUAGCUAAUUACUAACAUUAGCCAAAGCAAGCAAGCUAGCACUGAUAGUGCGGCCCUUAGUAACAGUACAGAUGAAGAUGAAAAAUGAUCAGGCCUACUGUACCUCGUACUGUAGAAAUUAUUGUCAAAAACUAGUCUAGGUUGGAACUGUUGCUGUUAAAAUACAAGUAAUCAUUUUUAUUCCGAACUGGAAUAAACUUAUUGAAGCAAGAUGCUUUUUGAGGCAAACACACUCACACAGUUCUGGGUUGCUCAUUUACAGGAAGCGGUCGCCUGCCUGACUGAGAAAGCAGUAGAUGUUCUGAUCCAGUUUGGCACCACAUAUCUACGCGAGUCAGAAACAGUCUCAAUGCUGAACCUGACCUCAAUAUUGCACUGUCAAAAACUGUGCCCAAAAUAGACAUGCUUGUUGAAAACUUCCACCAGCCACACACCUCUCAUUAGGACUGUGUGUGUUUGUGUGUUUUCUGGUCUACAUCUGUGUGAUGUGAUCAAUCAGUUUAUUUCAGUUCAGAAUAAAAAAUAUGUAUUGUAUUUUAACAGCAACAGUUCCAACCUAGACAGAUAUGUAUGAGUGUUUCUAAUGGGGGAAAAUAAACAUGAAUAGAUAUUUAUAUGUAUAUUUAAUUUCAUUGUUAUUUGGUUUUGUCUAUAUUGCAUUUGUUUUACGUAUAAGGGCAAUGCAAUGUACCAAUAUUUACGUAUAGUUACAUGUUUUCCUAAGUUUGGGUCCCAGGAAAACAUAGAAUUUCUCAUUUGGGUUCCAGGCUGAAAAAGUUUAAGAAUGAAUUUAUUAUUUCAAAUUAACUAUUUAUAUGAACUGUAACUCAAUAAAGUCUUUGAAAUUGUUGCAUGUUGUGUUUAUAUAUUUUUUUCUUUAGUGUACUGGGUCAUGUUCAUUAGUUACUAAACAGAAGAAAAUAGACUGAAACUGGGAGGGGCAUGUCUGCAGAAUUAUUUAUAAUGUUUUCCGUUGCGUGCCCUCAUGAACCCAACCCUGGUGUAGAUUUUAUUUAAUGUUAAUUUAAGUAUUCCGGAUUGGUCAGUAAUUUCUGUAUAGUGUCAUAAAGCAGACACUCUCAGAAUGGAGUGUUAUUAAGUCUGAAAAAUGGUCAUUCCUGCUGUGUGAGGACUGAGAUGGCGCUGGAGGGGAGGGCUGCCGUCUUAUCGGCUCUUAACCAACCAUGCUAUUUUGUUUUGUUUUUCACGUUGUUCGUAACUUGUUUUGUAUAUAAUGUUGCUGCUACCGUCUCUUAUGCCGAAAAGAGCUUCUGGACAUCAGAACUAAGAUUACUCACCUCAAAUUUGACGAGGAGUUCUUCUUCAAUGAGUCGCACACGAGGGAUAUACUACAGACACCCAACCAGGCCCAGAUCCCUGUAAUUCGCUGGAAAAGGAAACGUAGGUUUCGCGGAAAGAGAUCAGGAUGCCUUGUGAGGAUCAGCCGAAGAGUGGCUAAUCUGCCCUUGCCUUCCGUUCUGCUAGCUAACGUUCAAUUGCAGGAAAAUAAAUGGGAUGAACUGAAAGCACGUAUAUACUACCAACAGGACAUUAAAAACUGUAAUAUCUUAUGUUUCACUGAGUUGUGACUGAACGACGACAUUAAGAACAUAUACCUGGCGGGUUAUACACUCUAUCGGCAGGACAGAACAGCAGUCUCUGGUAAGACACGGGUCGGGGGCCUAUGCAUAUUUGUAAACGUCUCAAUGUUUUUCCCGCCUGAGUUAGUGUGAUCUACAGCUUAUCAUGAGAUACUCUAUCUACCAAGAGAGUUUUCAUCUGUAUUUUUUGUAGCUGUCUACAUACCACCACAGACCUAGGCUGGCACUAAAACUGCACUCAAUGAGCUGUAUUCUGCCAUAUGUAAACAGGAAAACGCUCAUCCAGAGGUGGCGCUCCUAGUGGCCGGGGACUUUAAUGCAGGGAAACUUAAAUCAGUUUUAGCCAAUUUCUAUCAGCUUGUUAAAUGUGCAACCGGAGGGAAAACAAUUCUAGACCACCUUUACUCCACACACAGAGACGCGUACAAAGCUCUUCUUCGCCCUCCAUUUGGCAAAUCUGACCAUAACUCUAUCCUCCUGAUUCCUGCUUACUAGCAAAAAUGAAAGCAGGAAGCACCAGUGACUCAGUCUAUAAAAAAGUGGUCAGAUGAAGCAGAUGCUAAACUACAGGACUGUUUUGCUAAUACAGACUGGAAUAUAUUCCGUGAUUCUUCCGAUGGCAUUGAAGAGUACACCACAUCAGUCACUGGCUUUAUCAAUAAGUGCAUCGAGGACGUCGUCCCCACAGUGACUGUACGUACAUACCCCAACCAGAAUCCAUGGAUUACAGGCAACACUCGCACUGAGCUAAAGGGUAGAUCUGCCGCUUUCAAGGAGCGGGACUCCAACCCGGAAGCUUAUAAGAAAUCCCGCUAUGCCCUCUGAUGAACCAUCAAACAGGCAAAGCAUCAAUACGGGACUAAGAUCGAAUCGUACUACACCGGCUCCGACGCUCGCCGUAUAUGGCAGAGCUUGCAAGCUAUUAAAGACUACAAAGGGAAGCACAGCCGAGAGUUGCCCAGUGACACAAGCCUACCAGACGAGCUAAAUAACUUCUAUGCUCGCUUCGAAGCAAGUAACAUUGAAACAUGCAUGAGAGCAUCAGCUGUUCAGGAUGACUGUGUGAUCACACUCUCCGCAGCUGAUGUAAGUAAGACCUUUAAACAGGUCAACAUUCACAUGGCCGCUGGGCCAGACAGAUUACCAGGGUUUGUACUCCGAGCAUGCGCUGACCAACUGGCAAGUGUCUUCACUGAUAUUUUCAACCUCUCUCUGUCUGAGUCUGUAAUACCAACAUGUUUCAAGCAGACCACCAUAGUCCCUGUGUCAAAGAACGCUAAGGUAACCUGCCUAAAUGACGACCGACCCAUAGCAUUCACGUCUGUAGCUAUGAAAUGCUUUGAAAGGCUGGUCAUGGCUCACAUCAACACCAUUAUCCCAGAAACUCUAGACCCACUCCAAUUUGCAUACCGCACCAACAGAUCCACAGAUGAUGCAAUCUCUAUUGCACCCCACACUGCCCUUUCCCACCUGGACAAAAGGAACACCAAUGUAAGAAAGCUAUUCAUUGAAUAUAGCUCAGCGUUCAACACCAUAGUGCCCUCAAAGCUCAUCACUAAGCUAAGGACCCUGGGACUAAACACCUCCCUCUGCAACUGGAUCCUGGACUUCCUGACGGGCUCUCCCCAGGUGGUAAGGGUAGGCAACAAGACGUCUGCCCCUCAGGAGUGCGUGCUCAGUCCCCUCCUGUACUCCCUGUUCACUCAUGACUACUCGGCCAGGCACAACUUCAACAACUAUCAUUAAGUUUGCUGAUGACACAACAGUGGUAGGCCUGAUCAAAGACAACGAUGAGACAGCCUAUAGGGAGGACCGUGUGGUGCAAGGACAACAACCUCUCCCUCAACGUGAUCAAGACAAAGGAGAUCGACUGGGCUGCAGUGGAGCAGGUUGAGAGCUUCAAGUUCCUUGGCAUCCACAUCACCAACAAACUAACAUGGUCCAAGACAAUCGUGAAGAGGGCACGACAAAACCUAUUCCCCUCGGGAGACUGAAAAGAUUUGGCAUGGGUCCUCAGAUCCUCAAAAGGUUUUACAGCUGCAACAUCGAGAGCAUCCUGGCUGGUUGCAUUACUGCCUGGUAUGGGCAAUUGCUCGGCCUCCGACCGCAAGGCACUACAGAGGGUAGUGCGUACGGGCCAGUACAUCACCGGGGCCAAGCUUCCUGCCAUCCAGGACCUCUAUACCAGGUGGUGUCAAAGGGAGGCCUUAAAAAUUGUCAAAGAGUCCAGCCACCCUAGUCAUAGACUGUUCUCUCUGCUACCGCACGGCAAGCGGUACCGGAGCGCCAAGUCUAGGUCCAAGAGGCUUUUAAACAGCUUCUACACCCAAGCCAUAAAACUCAGGAACAGCUAAUCACAUAGCUAAUCACAUGGCUACCCAAACUAUUUGGAAUUUCCCCCCCUGCUACUGCUGCUCUACUGCUGAUCUUUAAUUAUUUGUUAUUCUUAUCCCUUACUUUUUUGGGAGGUAUUUUCUUAAAACUGCAUUGUUGGUUAGGGGCUUGUAAGUCAGAAUUUCACUGUAAGGUCUACAUACCUGUUGUAUUCGGCGCAUGUGACAAAUAAAAUUUGAUUUGAAGCUCUUAAAGACUUCUCUCACUGGCCCAUAUUUAGAAAGCCAUCACUGCAGCCCGCCCCCCUUUCCAGAGGAAAUGGGUGGAGCCUUAGCCAUGACCUCACUCGAGGAAACUAAGCAACGGUUUAUACCAUCUAUACAAGGCAGGGAGCAGGAAGAGGCUGUGCUUUCAUAAACCCAUUGGAGAAAUUGCAUUACUGCCCAGUAAAUCAGACUUUUUUUUGCUAUACAGGGGGAUAUUGACUUGGCACUCCUGCAUUUUACCUGUUAUCCAACAAUUCUGAAAUAAAAUGUAAUUAUCAUGUUCUUUUAUAGGUUUAGUUUUGUAGGUUUUAGCAGACUGUCUUAUCCCAAGCCACUCACAUUACUCAUGAUGGCUUAUAGUAAAUGCACAGAGGGGUGAAACAUCAGCAUAAUACAUCAACAAGCAUAAUAAAUCAACUCUUCCUUAGAUGUAGGAAGAAAUGUUUUUGAGACGGAGAUGGCCAUCACAUUUUGUAUAACACCACUGACCUGUGUGUUUAUCUUGUGUGCGCCCAGGAUGGGAAACUGUACCAGCCUCCGGUGGUGGUGAUUAUAGACUGUAAGCUGGGGGCAGACCUGCUAUGUGAGCCGGGAAGUAGGUCAUGGGCCUCAACACGGUGGCCAUCCACUCCGACAAGACCCAGUGGGAACGCAACCGCAUCCUCAAGGGUCUACUUGAAGGUCCACUGGCGUACUGGGCAGAGGGCUCAAACUGCUCAACGUCAAACUGGUGGUCUUUGACAUCUCACCCAACAUGGACAAGUAUGUUCAUCAGUGGUGUCAAAGCCAUUUUAGGUGUCCUGUCACUCCUUCCUCACAGCUGGGCAGAGCAGGCAGACUGGGCCACCGGGGUACUGCCUUCACGUUGGUCAACAACAUCAACAAGUGUCUGUUCCUGAAGGUGGUAAACUGGGUGAAGCCCACAGGCUCCCAGCUGCCCCCCCCCAGCUCCUCAACUCGCCUCACCUCCACGAGCAGCAGAGGAAGGAGAAGCAGAAAGCCACGUAAAGUAGAGAGGAUGAUGUCGUUGGUCACCAAGACCAACCUCCUCGACAUCAUCUGGAAACACAACAGGAGAUUAAAAAGAUAGAAACAGUUCGACAGAGGCACUUGUUAUAGUUACUUUGUGUUUAUAUCAGGGUAAAUUUGUCAUUUUUUAAUAAAUGAAUAUGAAAACUUGAUUGAGUUGUCAUUUGGAUUUGACCCUCUUUUACAUGCAAUAUGGUAAUAUACACGAUAUAUAUAUACAAAGUAUGUGGACACCCCUUCAAAUUAGUGGAUUCGGCUAUUUCAGCCACACCUGUUGUUGACAGGUGUAUAAAAUUGAGCACAUAGCCAUGUAAUCACCAUAGACAAACAGUAGAAUGGCCUUACUGAAUAGCUCAGUGACUUUCAGCAAGGCACCGUCAUAGGAUGCCACCUUUCCAACAAGUCAGUUCAUCAAAUUUCUGCCCUGCUAGAGCUGUCCCAGUCAACUGUAAGUGCUGUUUAUGUGAAGUGGAAACGUCUAGGAGUAGCAACGG